AAUGGCCUCCAUUUCCAGAAGCGAACACAAAAAUCGACCCAAGACCAUUUCGGCCAUUAAGGACACCGUUCAUCAACGCACGACGAGUAGCCGUAUUAGGAGCAUCCAUUGCUCUUCCAUCAUCUGCAGGGCCCCAGGAACAUGAAUAUAUAUGAUUUGUUUGAAAGCCAUAAUUCAGUGCUUCCGAUUCAACAGCAUCAGUAAUAGGGGCCGAAAGAAUACGAAGUCCAGCGACCUUGGCGCGUGGAGCUAUGCCUACGCCACAAACGUCGUUCCAAGCUGCAGCCACUUCUCCAGCACAACGGGUGCCGUGCUGAUCAUCUGAUAACUUUGGCAAAGGGUCAGCAAUGUUAUCAUUGAAGUCCCAAGAACCAAGCGAAGUGUAAGCAGCUUGCAAAUCUGGAUGUUUAAAAUCAAUUCCAUCGUCUACAAAUGCAACGGUAACAUUCUCACCGAAGUAACCGGCGUCCCAGACUUCACGUAGAUUCAGAUCGUGUCCAGGAUUAUUCGAGUUGAAUAUGUGCCAUUGGCCAUAAAAGAGAGGAUCCGAAAUUCCAAAAUGAUUAGAGAACUCAUUCAGUAAUUCAUCAGAUUCACUCGCAUCCCGCUUGUAGCGCCAUCUGGGCGUCUGGCGCUCCAAUUCCAAGAUUCCGGCAUCAAUGCCUCGUUUUCGAAUUGAACUUUGGACUGAAUCAUCGCUCCCCUUAUGUAGCUUAAUUAAAUGGUGAUACUUCAAAUUUAAUAAAGGGCGCACAUACUUAGCACCAAUGGCUUCUGCUGCUACUACAGGAUCAACUUCAGGUUCCACUUGAACUAGAAAUAAAUCAUCGUUUUCUAAUGGAGAGCAAGAAGAAACCAAAAACUGUAAAAAUAUUGCAAGAAUUGGCCCACAUAGCAAAGCAGGAUGCAUGGUGCUGGGACGGUGUAUGCACUAGGUGGCUUAACAGAUUAUGGUGUCCACUGUACCAUAGUGGUGGCUAUGUACAAUAAAACAGCCAUUCGACUAAAACACAUAUAAAGUGUAAAGCUGUCAGUAUUUAAACUUUUCCAAUUAAGAAAUACAUGGCAAAAGUGAGCAAUUGCUAAACCGUGUGUCUACUAUAAUACCAUGUUAUAUAUUACAU